AUGUGUUCAUUCCAGAAGAUUAUGUUAGAAAGAGAAGGCUUGAGAAAAAGCUCAAAAGCACGGUGGUGGCUUCAACAAAAAGCUCCCAAACACAUUCACGUGAGAGGAUUGAGAAUAAUAAAGACAAGUCCUUCACUCCUUAUCAUCCACAUGAUCAUCUUUUUAUUUGCUUCUCUGCUUAAUUCAUUUCUACUCCUAUUUUUGUUAGUAGUUUUGGAACUUUCUACCUUCUUCAACUUUUUCUAUACAUGGAGUUGUUAG